GAACAAGUUCUGCAUGAGCUGUUGCAUCUGUGGCUCUGAUUCACAUACCCAGUGCCUCUGGAGUGUUUGCACAGUGCUCAUGUUCAACAUGAAUAGUAAUAUUUUGCUUCGAGAACUAAGAGCUGAGCGACUGACAUGUUCUGGCCUGGUCUCCCCGAAUAAAACAAUGUGGAUUCCGAUUCUUCUCAUGUGUUCCCUGCCCGGUCCCAGGCUGAGAUGAUAGUGGUCUCCUUCAAGCAGGUGGGGACCUCACUUUGAAGAAGUGUGAGGUUAAAACUGUCUGCAAAUAUCCCCGCCAACUGAUCUACACAGGAUCUAAGGACACGUCUGGGGACACCAUCUGGACCAGAUGCUUUCUGUGGGUUCACUCUCCAGAAGACUGAUCAGGAAUGGGUUGCUUUUAUCCAUUCCUGCUAAAGUUUUAACUCCAAGCAUUACACCAUUUCCAUUAGUCACUGAGAAUUUAGUGUUAUGUGUUAAAUAUAACCACGAGUAUUGCAUACUGUAACGUGUUAAACUGCUGCUGGCUGUCUGUGGUUUCCUGAUCAGACUUCCUGCUACCUUCUUCCUCAUUUCUAUUUUGCUCUGAGGACUCAGUUGAGUGACUGACAAGUGUUGGCUUGGUCUUUACAAGCAUAGCAAUGUGGAUCGAUUCUUCUCAUCAGUUCCCUGCCCGGUGAGUGACAGCCAGAGUGGGACAUUUCGAUAAUCAGUGUUCGUUUGAGUCUUGUGCACUGUUUCCACAGCAGAGGUGGUUAAAAAUGUGUAGAGGUGUAAAGGUGGAAAAUAUGGCAUUAUGGUGUGUACUUGUAGUUUCUUUGAUCUGCACCUCCUUAGCAGAGAAAUAUUCACCAAUAUGUCUGAGACUCCAUUAGGAAUUGUGAAUUUAAAGCUACAUUUAACUUACAAAGACUGUGCAAGUGACACAGAUGGAUGGUAAUGAUUUUUCUCUGUAUUAAAAACUGCUCCAUUGCUCUCCAGGGCCUGCUGAAGGCACCAGUGGAAGUAAUCUCUCAAAUGUAAUUUCUCUCCCGUUCACAACUCACUUCUGUUCUUUGAAAUACAUUUGA